GAUGCUGAGUUGCAGUUAGAGGGAUUUUUAGUGGAUUUUCCAUAAGUCCCUUCGAUGAUGGAAGAUGAGCACGAGUUAUCCAAUGAAGAAGUCUUGGAGGAGCUCGAGUUUCUUCUAGCAAGUGAACCAAGCUAAGGACUAGAGAAAACCAUCGACAUUCCUGAAGAAAUUGCCCAACCGUCGAUCUUUCCAAUUGGUAAAACUCCAGCUUUCAAAUUGGAAGAGC
rnacentral:lncRNA from 1 species